rnacentral:lncRNA from 1 species
CCCGGCACUGCUCAUUGUAGGCUGCAGCUGCUGGGGGGUGCGCGUUGUGACUCGAGGGCCGGCCUCCAGCACAUUAGCCUCCUAGGUUGCACCUGCGCUUUGAAGGAGCGACGCCAUGGGUUGCGUUAAUAGCAAGGAGGGAGAACUCGCUGGCGUCCCGCCAGCGGGCAAGGAGUUUGCAGACCUCAACAACUACGAUGCUCAGGGCGUGCUGUCUGUGUACCUGACCGGCGGGCCUCUGACUGCGAAAGACUACAAGGAGCGCCUGGUCUCCUCAGAGGGCACGCAGACCGUGUUUAUGCCCCAGUCCGGCUACACAAUCCGCUAUGCUUUCGUGAGCCAGCGCGGCUAUUACCCGGAUGCGCCCCACAAAGCCAACCAGGACAGUUUCUGUGUGCACACUUACUUCGGAGGCGAUGCAGAACAGUGCUUGUUUGGCGUGUUUGACGGACAUGGCGAGUAUGGGACGCAGUGCUCCCAAUUUGCCAAAGACAAGGUGAGGCGUAGUCACAUGUGCAGACUAAACGCGGGGAGCUUUCUAAAUUGAGGAGGGGUUGAGCAUGUGCACAUGUCGUGCUGCGCCGGUUUGCAGCGCUCAUAAUUGGCGUGCGCUAGUGCCCUUCUGUUUCCGUGUGGGG